UAUUUGCUGCUGAAUAAGCCCUUAUUCUGCACCUGGCAUGUUAUGCUAAUCUUCACAACAACCCUAUGAGGCGAAUACUCUUAUUCUUCCAUUUGACGGACGAGGAAUAUGAUGCUGAAAGAGGUUACGUUUACCUAAGUUCAUGCAGCCGGAGGACUUUGGGUGGAGUUGCUGUGUUUUGAAGCUCGCCAAUUGCCUUUAGCGACCCUCUUCUUGCAUCCUCUCUCUGGGAAGGCUACCACGGGCCAUCCAUCCAUUUGCCCCAUCCAGGAGACUUGGCAUCAUCCUUGAGUCUUCCUUGUCCCACUCCCACCACAGCUCUUCCUUCAGUAAGUACUGUUGUCUCUCACUCUACAAUUGCUUGGAUCUUCUACAUUUUCCCAUGUCAUCACUGCCACCGUCCUCAUUUGCCGGCUGCCUGCAGUAACCUAACUGCUCUUCCCUGCGGGGAUUCUUGCUCCUGCCAAUCCAUUCUCAGCCAAGCAGCUAGAGCGAAUUUCCUCAAAUGCAAAUCUGGCGAUGUGACUCCCCUACAUAAAGCUCUUCAAU